ACGGAACCGAAGUACAUGAUUCCACGCUGCCAAGAAAAGCGUCUAGAGAGAGAAGUAGUGCCCGUACCGCAAACCGACACAGGUAGGUGAGGAGAGAAUCCUAAGGCCGGCGGAAGAAUUACAGUUAAGGAACUCGGCAAAUUGACCCCGUAAGUUCGCGAGAAGGGGUGCCUACGAGAGUAGGCCGCAGAGAAUAGGCCCAAGCAACUGUUUAGCAAAAACACAGGUCUCUGCUAAAGCGUAAGCUGAUGUAUAGGGGCUGACGCCUGCCCGGUGCUGGAAGGUUAAGGGGAACACUUAGCGCAAGCGAAGGUGUGAACUUAAGCCCCAGUAAACGGCGGCCGUAACUAUAACGGUCCUAAGGUAGCGAAAUUCCUUGUCAGGUAAGUUCUGACCCGCACGAAUGGCGUAAUGACUUGGGCACUGUCUCAACUGUAAAUCCGGCGAAGUUGUAGUGCGAGUGAAGAUGCUCGCUACCCGCGAUUGGACGGAAAGACCCCGUAGAGCUUUACUGUAGCUUAGCAUUGAGUUUUGGUAUUGUCUGUACAGGAUAGGUGGGAGACUAGGAAA
rnacentral:rRNA from 1 species